rnacentral:rRNA from 1 species
AACAAACGCUGGCGGCGUGCCUAACACAUGCAAGUCGUACGAGAAAGGGUCCUUCGGGGCCUGAGUAAAGUGGCGCACGGGUGAGUAACGCGUGGAUAAUCUGCCCUUCAGUUGGGAAUAACUCAUCGAAAGGUGGGCUAAUACCGAAUAAUGCUGUGAGACCUCGGUUGAUCAGCCAAAGAGAGCCUCUGCUUGCAAGCCCUCGCUGAAGGAUGAGUCCGCGUACCAUUAGCUAGUUGGUAGGGUAAUGGCCUACCAAGGCGACGAUGGUUAGCUGGUCUGAGAGGAUGAUCAGGCACACUGGAACUGAGACACGGUCCAGAUUCCUACGGGGGGCAGCAGUGAGGAAUCUUGCGCAAUGGGGGCAACCCUGACGCAGCAACGCCGCGUGAGUGAGGAAGGUCUUCGGAUCGUAAAGCUCUGUCGGAUGGAAAGAACCGCAUAGGGGUAAACAGCCCCUGUGUCUGACGGUACCAUCAAAGGAAGCACCGGCUAACUCCGUGCCAGCCGCCGCCGUAAAAC